CCUUUAGUGCUGGGACAAGGGUUAUUGAUUCCUAUCGUGCAUCAUUGGUGCCGGACACAGUACAAACUUUAGUUUGUGGGGGCGAUUGGCUUCGACAUAUACAAGGAGUUACCAAAGCUAAAAAGGAGAAAUCAUAUCAAGAAAUUUUUCUUCCGGUAUCCAACUCAUGAAAAUCUUUCUUGGAAUCAAAGAUGACUACCGUCGUUGCCUUGUAACUGAUAUUGAAAUAGAUCUAUGAACUUAUUUUCAGUGUUGUUGUUGACUUGUAGUUUAUAUUGAAGAUUUGAAGUGGACUUGUGAACUUACUUAUUUUGAGUGCUUAAGUGUAGUUGAUAUUGCAGUGAAGUUGUGCACAUUUUAAGUUUUUAACCAAUGAAGUUUGGACUUUGGAAUGUUUAAAAAUUUUUAUUAUUUA